UGAGGAGCGGCUGAGGCCCCUCGGCGUGCUCAGCGCAGAGCAGAGGAGCUGAGGGGAGGCGUCAUGGCGGCCGCAGCUCCUCACAGGGAGCGGAGGGGCAGCGCUGAGCUCUGCUCUGUGUGACAGCGACAGGGCCCGAGGGAACGGCAUGGAGCUGUCAGGGGAGGGGCAGCUGGGGGUUAGGGAAAGGGGCUGCACCAGAGGGCGGUGGGCAUGGAACGGGCUGCCCAGGGCUGUGGGCACGGCCCCCAGUGCCGGAGUUCAAGGGGCCCUCAUACUCUGGGUUUGAACGCCGAGGUGCCCUGCGUGCAGCUCCAGCUCCGCACCGCCAGGUGGCAGCAGGCCUUCUCCUAUCGGCUGCUCGCCGUGGCUUCGGGGUUUUUGAUGUUGUCGGUAAUCGUUAAUUAAAAAUGAGCUCCGACUUCUCUGCCGAGGCUCCCUCGAGGUCUCCAGAGGAACAGUCUGGGAUGCUCACUGAACAUCCAUCUGCUCAGCAGCAGUGCUCGCAAGUGUUUCACCGGGACAGAAGAGACUCUGGAAGCUGAAGGGCUGCAACUGCAAGCCUGCGCGUUUGGACUGCUGAGCCAGCAGAGAAGUGGGCGAGGAGAAUCGAGACGGACCCCUGGAUGCCAACAUGCAGGUGCAGACCUUUCCGCUGUAAGCCCCAUAACCACAAGCCAGCCCAAAAGGACAGGUGGUACUGUGGACAUAACUGAGUGAAGUACAGCAUCGUGAAACUGCAGGAACUCUGUGACAGGUAGGGACCGGCAGUCGUCCCAUUUGGAUACGGCUCUGCUACCACCGCUCUGCAUAUGAAUGAUCCCAUCCGCAAAUCAAACUGAACGCUUAUCACAGCACAAAGCACUUGAUGAAGACUAAUGAUUCCAACGUCGGAGACUGCCCACGUAGCUUACCCUGUGGGAAAGCUCUGCCGAUAAGAGCUUUGAAGAAUAAUCUCAUACCAUUCAUCAGAAAAGGCGCUAAGGCAGCAAUGUGGAUGUCCAGCCCAGUGGAAAUGGUUUCGCAUGAUCUCUGAACUGGACGAAACAUUGGCAAGGGGUGCUGGCAACUGAUGGCAAAGAGUUGGUCACGUAUCCCACCGCCAGGUGUGUGCUGAGCAUCCUGCACGACCUCGUGGUUGUCACAGCAGCACAGGGACUGCACUGACUGAGGACCCACAGACCAACGUGAGACCCCUUCUCACACCUGCUGUAAAUGGAUGCCACGUGAAGAGUGCUGAGCGUAAGAUUCCUUGGGUUCCUCACAGGAUGAAAAGAGCCACCUCCAUGUUUACAGCACUGGAAUUGUAAGAUUUUCACCCUUUGGUCAUUUUUUUCCUUGAUUUUAUCGCAAGUUUUCUAUUACGGAGUACUCUUCCUAAGGAUACUUUACAUAAAAGACAAAAUAAAUGUAAUUGCAUCCAGAAAAUGCUCACGUGUGGUCAGAUGCUGUUAAGAUCACACUAAUUCUUGUGGAAAUUUUGUUCACUAUUUGUUUCUGAUGAGCACAGGGAUUGACAGCAUCCCUUAAAGACAUGAAAACAAAUAACUCCCUUUCAAGCACAGUCAGUAUUCCUUGCGCUGUGCUGGCACAGUGCAUCCCCUGGAUGAGUAUGCAGUGCUGGAUGGCUGCCUCUUCACCUGCAGGGCUUAUGGAGCCCUCACCUUGCUCAGAUUACCUGAGGGUAAUUUCUGGACUGGUUUGUGGCUUUGGGAUGAGGAAUUCAGCUCUCAUCACCGCACGUAGCCUGUGGGAAUGAGCAGGCAUAUGGAAUUAGGCUGCUGGGAGCAGAAGGCACCAAGUGAGCUUUCAAAUGCUCCAUCAGCAGUCAAACAGCAUUUUUCACCUCUACAUCCCUUACUUCCCAAAUCGUGGUUUAUAUUCAUGCACAUUAUCCGUGUAUCUGUAGUAACAAAAUGACUACACAUUUUGUUUCCUCACCUACCUUGGGAAUUACCUCCUGAAUGGACUAAGUACUCCGAUAACAAGAAAAAAAUACUGCUGUCGAUAUGUAAAGGAAGUGUAUAAAUACUUCUGAGUUAACCAUGGUUGAAAUAGCCUUAAUCCAAAUCAGCUGUUGUUUUUUUGUUUGUUUGUUUGUUUGCAUUGCAAAAGUCAAAAUGAGGAAGGAGUAACUGGGAGCAAAGAAGUCUCUGUAUGUCCUCUGAUGCCAGCUGUGGUGCUGCGAGCUUUAGAUCUGUGUUUUUUCCCCUCAUCUUUAAUUAAGCUUAAUGAUAAUGUGUGAUUUCUCAAGUGUAUUUUAAUGGUGUAGGUUGCUCCAGGUGAAUAAAAAAUAUUGCACAGCUGUUACAGGGCUCUGCCUUCCCUGGGCAUGGGAGCAGCGCUGCACUGUGUUACUCUGUUAUCUGCAGCUAACUGUUAGAAAUGCUCUUCCAAGCAACAAGAUGCCUUCUUCCCAACUUAUCGGUGACGCUGCGUGUCAACGGGUUAUUCAAAAGAAGUGCCACUUACAGUUCUGCUGAACUAAAAUGCAGAUGACAGGAAAAAUCAGUGCUUUCCAAACUGAAACAAAAUACCUUCGGUUCCUGCUUGCUGUGCAUCGUGAAUCUGUUUGCACCCCACCAGAAGCCAAGCGAGCAGAAUUUGAUUCAAUACAACUAACAGGAUGUGUUAUUUUCAGGUUCAUGAACAAGAACUGUUGGUUCAUUCUUCUUCCUUUCUCCUUUUCUCUUCAACUGCUGAUUCAUUUUCAGCUAUAAAUCAUCCUGGCUGGAAAUUCUGUGUAAGCCAUUAGAAAUGAAGACACAAAGUGACCAGCUGAAAAGCCAAGGAGCUGCAGUUUGACAUGCUUUCAAUACAGUAAAUGCUAAUACAACCUGAACAACUUCAGUGCAACAACUACUGCUCUGCUAAUUAAGCAAUUUUUUAAUGGGACACUUUGAAGCCAGUAGGUAUAUAUUUAUUUCACAAUCGAAACAUCUCUGAAAUCCAGGUGGCAUUAAAUUUUGCAUGAGCUUCUGGUAAAUUACAGAACUUAUUUUCCUUUAAAAGCUGUAGAAAGAAAAUUUCAGGGGGGGGAAAAAAAAGGUGCAUGCGUGUUUCUCUAAUAAGAGAGUUCUGAUUCAGGACAGAUAAUCUCCAGGACAGAUAAUCUCUUUUUACGUAAUCAUGAGACCGGGCAGAAAAAAAAUGCCCCCGAUGUAAAGCAUGUACAUUAAUCAAACUGUGUGCAACCUGAGCUGCUGAGGAAGCAACAGAGAGUUGCAGCGGGCAAAAAAGCAUUGUAAUUCAUAUUGAUCAAAAGGAACCAUCGUAUGUCUGUUUGGCUAAGUCGCACAGGUCACUUUCUGAGGGCAAAAUGAAGUAAUGAUACUGUAACUAACAUAUUUAAUUUGUUUUUCGUUUCUCCCCCUCAG
ensembl:lncRNA